UACUUUGGCGGGCCGGGCAGGGAGACCGAAAGGUCUGCCGGCGUCCUACGGGCCGGUCUGCGAACCCUGUCGUCGGGCCCGCCACCCUC
rnacentral:antisense_RNA from 1 species